rnacentral:rRNA from 1 species
CAGUAGCCACGGUAAUACGGAGGGUGCAAGCGUUAAUCGGAAUUACUGGGCGUAAAGCGCACGCAGGCGGUUUGUUAAGUCAGAGGUGAAAGCCUGGAGCUCAACUCCAGAACUGCCUUUGAGACUGCAUCGCUUGAAUCCAGGAGAGGUCCGUGGAAUCCCGAGUGUAGAGGUGAAAUUCGUAGAUAUUCGGAAUAACACCAGUGGCGAAGGCGGCCCGCUGGACAUGUAUUGACGCUGAGGUGCGAAAGCGUGGGGAGCAAACAGGAUUAGAUACCCGAGUAGUCCCUGUCUCUUAUAA